UUAGGGUUCCUUUUCGCGGCUCUCCUCGCCCGGUUCCUUUCCUCCGUUUCUGCCUUCCCUCCCGCAACGCUUUUACCCAUCCCGUUCCAGGCUUUCUACUGUCUCUCCUCCACCCAGUUCCUUUCCUCAGUUUUACUGUCUCCGUUUCUCUCUUUCUAAAUCUCUCCAGGUAUCUGUGUCCCUACCCUUUGCUUUGGUCGCCGAAAUAUAUUGGGUUUUGGUGCUUUUCCUCAGCACAUCUGUCUUCCAUUGUGUUUUUUCUGUUUGGAUCAUCUAGGGUUAGGAAUAUAUGAUCUAAGGUGGUUGGUAGGUCGAGACUGUUUCCUGAGUUAUGCGAACUUCAUGGGCUGAUUCCGUUGCGAACGCCGAGAGCUCGGCGUGUGCGAUCGGUGCUUCUGUAAGCAUAAGCAACACUGGCAACACCAACGCCACUGCUGCUGUGGUCAUUGGCGCCCCUCGCCCUGUUCGCGCUGCCUACGUCCUUCCAACGGUGUGCAGUCUUCCAAACUCCCAGCGCCAGCCCCUGUCUAUGGUCCUUCUGCAGCCAAAUUACCAUCUGGGCCUAGAGCGCCUUCUGGAGGAGACCGAUGGGGUGGUGACUCUACUCGAGAUGCAGGACGCCCUGGCUUUGCUGGCGGCCGGGGUGGAGGAGGUGGUUGGGGCUCAAGGAUCGUUGGGUGGGAUCGGAGGAAGCGUGAGAAGAACCCUUUCGCAGAUGAUGAAGAAACCACUGAAGUCGCGUUUGAUGGUCAGGAGACUACUGGCAUAAAUUUUAAUCCAUAUGAAGGCAUACCUAUGGUGGUGAACGGUGAGACUGUGACUCCGCCGGUGAGCACAUUUGCUGAGAUUGAUUUGGGGGAUGAAAACACACCUGUGGAGGUGAGCCAUGUUAUUCCCAUCUUGCUAGCUGGACGAGACCUGAUGGUCUGUGCUCAGACUGGGUCAGGAAAGGCAGCAGCUUUCUGCUUUCCAAAUUAUUAGUGGGAUCAUAAGGGGACCACCUUCACAGUGGCAGCGGGGCUCGAGGGCAGUGUAUCCUCCUGCGCUUAUCUUGUCACCUACCCGUGAGCUCUCGGUUCAAUCCAGAUGUUGAUAAUUUACAAGAUAGAACCACUUUCCUAAAGUCUGACUGCCCAGUCGCAAAAAUGAUCCUGAAGUUGUUGAAGCACAAGAAGAAGAGCAAAAGGCAAUUGAUCAAAAGAGAAGUUGAUACAUGAGGAGGCUAGAAAGUUCUCCUACCAGACUGGUGGAUCCCCAAUCAAUUAGCAGACACUAGUUGCGAAGGAGGAUAUAAACAAUUGGAUUGAUCGGAGAUUGUCACUGCCAGUUUGUGAGUGCACUACACAGCAUGCUGCAUGAAUUCCACUAUAGGAGCAACAGUGGAAAACAAUGACAAAUGGUUACCUCAGGAAGUGUGCCAUGUUGCACGGCACAAAAAACCCAUCGUGUAGUGAUUUGAGGAGCACGAAUCCCCAGGAACGGGAACGAGCACUCAGAUCCUUCAAGAGUCGUGCUACUCCAAUUCUAGUUGGUGGUCAUAGUUUUGGUAGUGAUUCCUCCAUCGGCAGCGGUGGAGAUGGCGAUUAUUGACUUUGAUAUUAAAUGUUCGAUCAAACCGACUUAUAACUUCAUUUGGUCCAAACUACUACUCAAAAUGGUUAAAUCGAAGUUAUCGUAUAUAAUACACUCAUCAGAUCCUUACAAGUUAAUUUUAAUCUUUGUCCACUUGCAAUGUGAAUUAUAA